UUUAUGGUUAACAGAAUGGGUAUUUUAUUUUGAGUAAGCUCAUAUGAGCAUCUAUUGCGUAUUUGUGGUAUGCUUCAUAUUAUCAAAUAAUUGAUACAGGAUACAAGUUCAAAAGCUUUAAUUGUUGUGAUCAACUGAAUUAUGGACUUGCUAUCAGGCACAUUAGCCAGUAAUAGUAGCAAGUUUCAAUUAUCUUCAAAAAUAAAUUAAUAGUACCAUAAAGCAUAUUAAACAGAAGCAGAAAAGAAGAAUAAUAUUCUCCUGAUUCAAAAUUUGAUUGAAUAUAUGCUGAUUCAUCUGGCAGUCAUGCU
rnacentral:lncRNA from 1 species